AACGAGCGCUGGCGGCGUGCCUAACACAUGCAAGUCGAGCGCGAAAGGAGCAAUCCGAGUAGAGCGGCGCACGGGUGCGUAACACGUGGAUAAUCUGCCUCAGGGUUGAGGAUAACCUUCCGAAAGGUUGGCUAAUACUCGGUAAGCUUACGGUGACUUCGGUCGCUGUGAGAAAACUAGACCUCUAUUUAUAAGUUUAGGCCCAGAGAUGAGUCCGCGGCCCAUCAGCUAGUUGGCGGGGUAACGGCCCACCAAGGCUACGACGGGUAGCUGGUCUGAGAGGACGAUCAGCCACACUGGAACUGAGACACGGUCCAGACUCCUACGGGAGGCAGCAGUGGGGAAUUUUCCACAAUGGGCGAAAGCCUGAUGGAGCAACGCCGCGUGUGUGAUGAAGGUCUUCGGAUCGUAAAGCACUUUCGACUGGGACGAAAAACCUUUGGCUAACAUCCAGGGGCCUGACGGUACCAGGAGAAGAAGCAUCGGCUAACUCUGUGCCAGCCGCCGCAGUAAUAC
rnacentral:rRNA from 1 species